rnacentral:rRNA from 1 species
ACGGAGGGUGCAAGCGUUAAUCGGAAUUACUGGGCGUAAAGCGCACGCAGGCGGUUUGUUAAGUCAGAUGUGAAAUCCCCAGGCUCAACCUGGGAACUGCAUCUAAUACUGGUAAGCUUGAGUCUCGUAGAGGGGGGUGGAAUUCCAGGUGUAGCGGUGAAAUGCGUAGAGAUCUGGAGGAAUACCGGUGGCGAAGGCAGCCACCUGGACGAUAACUGACGCUCAGGUGCGAAAGCGUGGGGAGCAAACAG